CACCUCUCAGGGUCACAACUGGAGAGUUUCCAGUAGUCUACCAGUCUCGACUAAGGGAGGGAGAGUCAAGCAGAGGCAUAUCCAUUCCAUUCCUAGCUUGGUCCAUUGCUAGCAAAUGGAAGGCAAUCUGCUGCAAGU
rfam:Ornithorhynchus anatinus chromosome 3, whole genome shotgun sequence.